AGCAGCCGCGGUAAUUCCAGCUCCAAUAGCGUAUAUUAAAGUUGUUGCAGUUAAAAAGCUCGUAGUUGAAUUUCGGGGUUAGUGGAUUGGUCGUGCCUUUGGUAUGUACUGGUCUUACUGAUUCCUCCUUCUUGAUGAACUAUGAUGCCAUUAAUUUGGUGUUAUGGGGAAUCUAGACUGUUACUUUGAAAAAAUUAGAGUGUUUAAAGCAAGCCU
rnacentral:rRNA from 1 species